AAACUCGUUUCUCGAACUGAGAGUGGCAAAAAAUUUUGUAGCGGAGUCCUUUAGAUGAAACCAGGAAAGUGGAAUUCUUGCAAUGGAAUUAGGAAAAUCCAGGUUUUGUUAAAAAAAAAUUACAUUUAAGAACACUUAAAUAUCCACUGAACCCUUAAGGAACCCGUAAAGAGUGCAGGAAUGCGGGAAGUGGACUUUGGAAAUUAGGAGGAAGAACUGAGAUUCUAAAGAUUCUCAAUUUAUUCUCACAAUUCCAACAUGGGAAGACAGGAACAUGGAAACUGGGAGACAGGAAUACAGAAACUGGGAGACAGGAAUACAGAAACUGGGAGACAGGAAUACAGAAACUGGGAGACAGGAAUACAGAAACUGGGAGACAGGAAUACUGAAACUGGGAGACAGGAAUACAGAAACUGGGAGACAGGAAUACUGAAACUGGGAGACAGGAAUACUGAAACUGGGAGACAACUGGGAGGCAGGAAUCCUGAAACUGGGAGACAGGAAUACAGAAACUGGGAGGUAGGAAUCCUGAAACUGGGAGGUAGGAAUCCUGAAACUGGGAGGCAGGAAUACAGAAACUGGGAGGUAGGAAUGAGGAAACCAGAGAGGAGGACUUGUAAAAAAAAUAAUUUAAAAAAAACAAAAAAAAAAAAAGGGAGCAUGUAUUAGGAAACCAGGAACUGUGAAUUUGAAAACUUGCAAUGAUAAUCCAUCCAACGAAUGGAAAUAUAUCAGAAGUAAAUCUUUCACCUCGUCCGCUAACGAUGCGCGAACAACAAGCUUCCGCUGGACGGCUGGAGGAUACGCGGAAGUAGGAAACUGGGCUGUUGACCAGAGAGCAGGUCUUCGGGAAGCGGGAAUCUGAAAACUAGAAAGGAAAU
ensembl:lncRNA